GAUGAACGCUGGCGGCGUGCCUAAUACAUGCAAGUCGAGCGAACAGACGAGGAGCUUGCUCCUCUGACGUUAGCGGCGGACGGGUGAGUAACACGUGGAUAACCUACCUAUAAGACUGGGAUAACUUCGGGAAACCGGAGCUAAUACCGGAUAAUAUAUUGAACCGCAUGGUUCAAUAGUGAAAGACGGUUUUGCUGUCACUUAUAGAUGGAUCCGCGCCGCAUUAGCUAGUUGGUAAGGUAACGGCUUACCAAGGCAACGAUGCGUAGCCGACCUGAGAGGGUGAUCGGCCACACUGGAACUGAGACACGGUCCAGGCUCCUACGGGAGGCAGCAGUAGGGAAUCUUCCGCAAUGGGCGAAAGCUUGACGGAGCAACGCCGCGUGAGUGAUGAAGGUCUUCGGAGCGUAAAACUCUGUUAUUAGGGAAGAACAAAUGUGUAAGUAACUAUGCACGUCUUGACGGUACCUAAUCAGAAAGCCACGGCUAACUACGUG
rnacentral:rRNA from 1 species